rnacentral:rRNA from 1 species
AUUGAACGCUGGCGGCAGGCCUAACACAUGCAAGUCGAGCGAGCGGCGGACGGGUGAGUAAUGUAUGGGGACUGCCCGAUAGAGGGGGAUAACUACUGGAAACGGUGGCUAAUACCGCAUACUAUCGGAUAACCCAUAUGGGAUUAGCUAGUAGGUGGGGUAAAGGCUCACCUAGGCGACGAUCUCUAGCUGGUCUGCGAGGGUGAUCGGCCACACGGGGACUGAGACACGGCCCCGGCUCCUACGGAGGCAGCAGUGGGUAAUAUUGCGCAAUGGGCGAAAGCCUGAUGGAGCCAUGCCGCGUGUAUUAAGAAGGCCUUAGGUUUGUAAAGUACUGUCAGCGGGGAGGCGUUACCCACCGAAGAAGCACCGGCUAACUCCGUGCCAGCAGCCGCGGUAAUUC